GACGAACGCUGGCGGCGUGCUUAACACAUGCAAGUCGAACGGAAAGGCCCUGCUUUUGUGGGGUGCUCGAGUGGCGAACGGGUGAGUAACACGUGAGUAACCUUCCCUUGACUUUGGGAUAACUUCAGGAAACUGGGGCUAAUACCGGAUAGGAGCUCCUGCUGCAUGGUGGGGGUUGGAAAGUUUCGGCGGUUGGGGAUGGACUCGCGGCUUAUCAGCUUGUUGGUGGGGUAGUGGCUUACCAAGGCUUUGACGGGUAGCCGGCCUGAGAGGGUGACCGGCCACAUUGGGACUGAGAUACGGCCCAGACUCCUACGGGAGGCAGCAGUGGGGAAUAUUGCACAAUGGGCGGAAGCCUGAUGCAGCAACGCCGCGUGCGGGAUGACGGCCUUCGGGUUGUAAACCGCUUUCGCCUGUGACGAAGAGUGAGUGACGGUAAUGGGUAAAGAAGCACCGGCUAACUACGUG
rnacentral:rRNA from 1 species